UACGAAGGUGGCAAGCGUUGUUCGGAUUUAUUGGGCGUAAAGGGUGCGUAGGCGGCGGAGUAAGUUGGGUGUGAAAUCCCGGGGCUCAACCUCGGAAUGGCAUUCAAUACUGCUUCGCUAGAGUACUGGAGAGGAGGCUGGAAUUUACGGUGUAGCAGUGAAAUGCGUAGAUAUCGUAAGGAAGGCCGGUGGCGAAAGCGAGCCUCUGGACAGUUACUGACGCUGAUGCACG
rnacentral:rRNA from 1 species